ensembl:lncRNA
GGAGCCUCUUAGCUUUCUCUCCCUUUGCCUGCAACUGGAAAAUCACUGAGCUGCUUCAGGCCAGAUUUGAAUUUCCUGCACAAACUAUCAUUGCCUUGUUUAAAGGAGGGGAGCUGGUCACUCCACAACCUGAUGGCUUUGGAGGAAAAUGCUCGAGAAUUGAAAAAGAAAAUCAAGAUUUUUAUGUACCUAUGCUGCUGCUGCUGCUGCUGCUGCUAAGUUGCUUCAGUCGUGUACGACUCUGUGCGACCCCAUAGACGGCAGCCCACCAGGCCUCGCCGUCCCUGGGAUUCUUCAUGCAAGAACACUGGAGUCUGAGAAACCGGUCUGAGCAAGUUCUCAAAUAUUGAACCCCAUGAAUAGAAGGAAAGGCCUAUCUCCUGGAGGAAGAAUCCUGUGACAUAGCUUCAAUCAUACAUUAUACAUCAGUAAGACACCUUCAGACACAGAAGUGCAUGCAGAGCACCAGCUGAGAGUGGACAGGAGUACCUGACCAGCGGAAAAGAAUAUACAGAACCAUGCAAAACUUGCUCUCACUGUUUGCAGAUGACAUGAUACUGUACAUAGAAAACCUUAAAGAUAGUAUCAGACUGUGGCUGUGCCAUCAUGACUGUGGCUCAGAUCCUGAACUCCUUAUUGCUAAAUUCAGACUGAAAUUGAAGAAAGUGGAGAAAACCACUAGACAAUUCAGGUAUGACCUAAGUCAAAUCCUUUAUGACUAUACAGUAGAAGUGAGAAAUAGAUUUAAGGGACUAGAUCUGAUAGACAGAGUGCCUGAUGGACUAUGGAUGGAGGUUCAUGACAUUGUACAGGAGACAGGAACCAAGACCAUCCCCAAGAAAAAGAAAUGCAAAAAAGCAAAAUGGCUGUCUGAGGAGGCCUUACAAAUAGCUGUGAAAAGAAGGGAAGCAAAAAGCAAAGGAGAGAAGGAAAAAUAUACCCAUUUGAAUGCAGAGUUCCUAAGAACAGCAAGGAGAGAUAAGAAAGCCUUCCUCAGUGAUCAGUGAAAAGAAAUAGAGGAAAACAACAGAACGGGAAAAACUAGAGAUUGCUUCAAGAGAAUUAG